rnacentral:rRNA from 1 species
UACGAAGGGGGCUAGCGUUGCUCGGAAUCACUGGGCGUAAAGCGCACGUAGGCGGACUCUUAAGUCGGUGGUGAAAUCCUGGAGCUCAACUCCAGAACUGCCUUCGAUACUGAGAGUCUUGAGUCCGGGAGAGGUGAGCGGAAUAUGUCAUGUAGCGGUGAAAUGCUUAGAUAUGACAUAGAACACCAAUUGCGAAGGCAGCUCACUACACGGUAAUUGACACUGAGGCACGAAAGCGUGGGGAUCAAACAGG